GUGUUCUCGUUCCCAGUCAGGGAAAACCCCACAGGCUGCGAUAAAAGGGCCAAAAUAACCCAAAUUGGUCAUAUUCAGACUUUAGAGGGAACACCAACAUGCAUAAGCUUUAUCUUAUGGUUCAGGUACCGUUACACACUUAUACAUGUGAGGAAUCCAAUGCUGCUGUAUAAAUUCAGUUUAAAACAGAAUCUUGUUACUUUGCAGAAAGGUUCUCCAAAGGUCCAUUUAGCCGUUUUAAAGUAGUACACAAUCAUAAAGGGCCGAGUGAG